UUACCCAAAGAUCGAAGAGAUAACAAAAGGACAAGAAUGUCCUCGAUGGGUGGCAGCGAACUUGGAACCGAAUGUUUGGGUACCUUUAGUCCAAUGCAUUUGUGUUGAAUUUGCUUACAUAAAUGUCAAAUAGCUUCAGAAGUGAUAGUGAUCCUCCCUUUAAUGCGGGAGAACUUUUUCAACUUGGAACAAGAGGCAGAGAGAUACUAGAACAACAUGAGAAGUCAUUAUCAGAAGCUCAUACUGAAGAUAAGGAACACAUCCAGAGGUUGGAAAAAGAGCUGCUGAAUUGUUCUCAAGAAAUAGAUUAUCUUCAGGAUCAACUCAGUGCAAGGAACACAGAGGUGAACUAUCUAGAAGAGCGUGUUUGCAGCCUUGAAUUGAAACUGGAGGAGGUGGAACGUUUACAAGAAGAGGUUUUCAGCUUAAGGGAGGAGCUGAAAAGAUCCAAGUUAAAGCAAUUUUCCUUGAUCCAGGAAUUAGAGACUAAAGAAUUAGAUUUAGAGAAUUCAGCUUUGUCCAUAGAGAAAUUGGAGGAAUCGUUUUCGUCCAUGGCAUUAGAGUCUCAGUUUGAAGUAGAGAGUAUGAAGCUUGAUAUGAUGGCCUUGGAACAGAGUUUUUUCGAAGCCAAGAAAAUCCAGGAUGAAACUCUAGAAGAAAAUAAUAGAAUGAGUAGAUUAAUUGACGAGCUACAGCUAGCAUUGCAGGAUGCACAAAAAAUCAUCACCUCUCUAAAUGAAGAAAAUAGGGAACUUAAAGAGAAGCUUGAUACUACCAACAAGAACAAUAAUUUUUUUUCUCAAAAGGAUAAAUACUGGCUGGAAAACAAGGACAGAUCACAACUCAAGAAUCAAUCUUCCUUGAGUGAACAAGGGAGCAAUUCUACCAUACCAGAGGACGAAAGCACUUGUGGAGAAGUAUGGGGUCCACUCCAUGGAAGAUUGGCAAUGAUUGUAGAUCCAACUGCAGAUUUAGAAGGGAAGAAGGAGAGGUCACAUCAGAUCCAAGAAUAUGAAUUUCUUUUGAAGAAACUUAAGGAAGAAUUAAGAGAAGAAAAAUUGAAGGCCAAAGAAGAAGCAGAGGACUUAGUUCAGGAAAUGGCAGAGCUGAGAUACCAAUUUACAUGUUUGCUAGAAGAGGAAUGUAAGCGCCGUGCUUGCAUUGAACAGGCGUCCUUGCAAAGAAUUGCUGAGUUAGAGGCUCAGCUUCAAAGAGAGCACAAAAGUCCUUAAUUGCUGCCAGACAUCUCCAUGAAACAUAGACUCAUAGAGGCUGGCAUUGUCUUAAGUCUUUCAGGUUCAGCGAUAGAGAAUGACCUUACAGGGUGUAUAGUUCUGCAAAGUAUCCUGGCAAAAAAUUUGUUAUAUUCUGGAUAGCAACGGUGUGUUUUUCUCUGAAGGAAAAUUGAAAUCUAGGAUUUCUUCUUGUGCCUUAGUCUCAAAGAUUCCAUCGAAGCCGAAAGAAUCAAAGUGGGUUGUAUAGAAGGCCAGAGAAUGAUCACUUAAGAGGAUGUGUAAGUGGCAAGGUUUUUUGAAAGUAUGGGGUGCGUGCAAGGACUUGCCCGGAGUUUUUCUCUCUCUCUUUGUUUUGGGGGCUGUGUGGAGUAAUUGUACAUGAUCCACCUAUGAAUGUAGUUGGUAUAAUUUCACCGGUUUCAGUGCAUGUUUUUUAAUGAUUAAUUGUUGACGACCAAACUAAAACGUCUUUUUUUGUACUUGGUUUGGUUUAAGUACAAAA